rnacentral:snRNA from 1 species
GGUCCAGCGGCUGGAAGAGC